GCAUAUCAAUAAGCGGAGGAAAAGAAACCAACAGGGAUUGCCCUAGUAACGGCGAGUGAAGCGGCAACAGCUCAAAUUUGAAAUCUGGCCUUCUGGUCCGAAUUGUAAUUUGUAGAGGAUGCUUUUGGUUAGGUACCUUUCGAGUUCCUUGGAACAGGACGCCUUAGAGGGUGAGAGCCCCGUACGAUUGGAUACCGAGCCUCUGUAAAGCUCCUUCGACGAGUCGAGUAGUUUGGGAAUGCUGCUCUAAAUGGGAGGUAAAUUUCUUCUAAAGCUAAAUACCGGCCAGAGACCGAUAGCGCACAAGUAGAGUGAUCGAAAGAUGAAAAGCACUUUGAAAAGAGGGUUAAAUAGUACGUGAAAUUGUUGAAAGGGAAGGGCUUAUGACCAGACCUUUGCCUUGCGGAUCAUCCGGUGUUCUCACCGGUGCACUCCGCUUGGUUGAGGCCAGCAUCAGUUUUGGCGGCCGGAUAAAGACUUCAGGAAUGUGACUCCCCCGGGAGUGUUAUAGCCUGUUGUGUAAUACGGCCGCUGGGACUGAGGACCGCGCUUCGGCUAGGAUGCUGGCAUAAUGGUCAUCAGCCACCCGUCUUGAAACACGGACCAAGGAGUCGAACAUUUAUGCGAGUUUUUGGGUGUUAAACCCUCAAGCGUAAUGAAAGUGAACGGAGGUGAGAGCCCUUACGGGUGCAUCAUCGACCGAUCCUGAUGUCUUCGGAUGGAUUUGAGUAAGAGCAUAACUGUUCGGACCCGAAAGAUGGUGAACUAUGCGUGGAUAGGGUGAAGCCAGAGGAAACUCUGGUGGAGGCUCGCAGCGGUUCUGACGUGCAAAUCGAUCGUCAAAUCUGCGCAUGGGGGCGAAAGACUAAUCGAACCAUCUAGUAGCUGGUUACCGC
rnacentral:rRNA from 1 species